GCUGUCUUUUUUUGCUGAUGCAUAAUUACUUCAGCUUCUUUUUUCCGUUGCCAAUAGUCAUCUCCUCCUUAAGAUGGGGAUUAGAAGCCGGCAGGAAAACUAUGGUUCCCGGAUGAAAAAGACACGCAUAAAAGUUGCAAAUUUUGAAUAGCAAUUCCUAUGUAUAUAUGAAUGUGCUAAUGGAGGGCUGUGUUGCAGGACUGAUUGGAGGCAACCAAAUCUUGGAGAAUGAUGGAAGAUAAUGGACUCCAGCUUUUAGGAAUGUUAUAUAAGGAUCCAAUUUCAAGCUUUGGACUGUUCCAUAAAUUUGCUGUUGAGAAUCAGGAGCCUCCUAGGUGAUCAUUGCAUAGUUCUACUGGAAAUUGGUGCCAGAGGAGCUCUCGAUGAAGUUCCUACGAGAACCAAAAUCAAUUCUAGAUGCAUCAGACAUAUCAAUUGAGGAAGCAUGGUUCCCAGGUGCAGUGCUAACAUUGCUGAAUGUUGUCUGCUACCAUAGCCUUCCUAAAACAGGACAACACAAUUAUUAUCUGGAGGGACGUUGGAUAUGAUGAUUAUCCAGUGAAAUGUAUGUCUUUGUAGGACCUUCGCACUCAACUGAUAUAUGCAUCUGUUAUCAAACUGAGAGUAGGAGGUAUGCAUAAACCUUUAAUUUUGGGAGACAUAACCACUCUUCGAAUCUUAGCCAGAUUCUUCCAUCUCUAGGAUUUAACUUUCUGUGAAAAGAAUUUCAUGAACACGCAAAGAUUGCCAACUAAACUUUGUACAAAAAAGGUAGAUGUGAUAAAUCUAUUUAUCUCUCGCCGAACUACUCUGAAUUUUGUGGUACCUGGUGAAGAUUAAGAAAAUAGUUAUGCCCUGCUAUAUUUAGUGAUAAAUAAGAUACCAAAUGUGACUAAAUAGUUCUGCUUAAGCGUAUGUACCUGCACUCUUUUCAUAUGGUAUUGUCAAAACUUUGGCUGAGAAUAUAUUAAUAGUUGUUCCAAAAUGUUUCCUGUUCAGUCAAGACCUUUGGGACAUUACCAAACGCUAUUGGACAAGAAGAUUGAUGGUUUUCAGCAAGUAAGAUAAUAGUUCAAGUAUCGAAGGGACGUACGACUUUUGGUGCAUUGUUAGGAAAAUUGUAUUGAGUGUAUUUCACGUUUCUGCUCUGUCUCCAUUUUGCUAUGUCCUUGAAGUUCUUAUAUCACUUGCUAUUUUGAGUGCCCACUAUCAUCUGAACAUGAAGUAACAUGAGAAGUCAAAGUUUUGUGCAUGCCUUUUCUUUAAUAUGUUCAGAUUUAUAGCUCAUGAGAGUAAUGCUUAAGAUUGAUAUUUUAGAUACCAUUUUUGUAUUUAAAGUGCAGGCCGAAUUUCUUACUCCUAUAACUAAACCAAUAUGCUAGCUACUUUGUGUCAGGCGUACUUUUUGGUUUCGUUCAUGGUGCAGGUUAGCUGGUUAUUUACAAGUGUGUGGAGCAUCCAAAAUUCAAGUAAGAACACCAUGCUUCCUUGGUGUGUCCAUAAAUAUAUCUCCAUGCGGAAGCUGUUAGAUGAGUACGGAUCAAAUGAAGAAUGACAAAAACGCCCAGGACUAUUUCAAACUGUUUUAUUUUAACUACAUUCAGCCAACCGGAGUAUCCUGCUCUUCCAUCUAUAGGUUCUACUCCCUCCGUUCCUAAAUAUAAGUCUUUAGAGAGAUUCCACUAUGGACCACAUACGGAGCAAAAUGAGUGAAUCUACACUUUAAAUGCAUCUAUAUAUAUCCGUAUGUGGUUCAUAAUGUAAUCUCUACAAAGAUUUAUAUUUAGGAACGGAGGGAGUACAUCUAAAUCCUUAUUCUGUUGAAUCAGGUACUUGCAUUCUAUUGUUCAAGAUGUGUAAUUUUUCUGUUGAUUAACAAAAUCAUUGACUUAUGAAAGUGUACAUGCAAUGAGUUAUGCAGUUCACAUA